rnacentral:rRNA from 1 species
UCGACUUAGGAGGGAUUACCCGCUGAACUUAAGCAUAUCAGUAAGCGGAGGAAAAGAAACCAAUCAGGGAUUUCCUUAGUAAGUGCGACCGAACAGGAAUAAGCCCAGCGCAGAACCUCCCGGGCCACCCGGCCUGCGGCGGAAUGUUGCGUAAAGGGAAAGAUCGUAUUCAAACCCUACAACCUCACGAACUCUAAGUAAGCCACGAAUCGGCUAUCCCGUCUAACGUCGGGAGUGACUCCAUGGAGGGUGUAAGACCCGUGUGGGCGUGUGUCAAUGUUGUAUGGGCUCGAUCUCUUCCCUGAGAGUCGCGUUGCUUGAGAAUGCAGCGCUAAGCAGGUCGUAAACUCGAUCUAAGGCUAAAUAUUCCACA